rnacentral:rRNA from 1 species
GAAGGUGUACUGUGAGGUAUGCUGGAGGUAUCAGAAGUGCGAAUGCUGACAUAAGUAACGAUAAAGCGGGUGAAAAGCCCGCUCGCCGGAAGACCAAGGGUUCCUGUCCAACGUUAAUCGGGGCAGGGUGAGUCGACCCCUAAGGCGAGGCCGAAAGGCGUAGUCGAUGGGAAACAGGUUAAUAUUCCUGUACUUGGUGUUACUGCGAAGGGGGGACGGAGAAGGCUAUGUUGGCCGGGCGACGGUUGUCCCGGUUUAAGCGUGUAGGCUGGUUUUCCAGGCAAAUCCGGAAAA